UACGUAGGGAGCAAGCGUUGUUCGGAUUUACUGGGCGUAAAGGGCGCGUAGGCGGCAAUUCAAGUCAUCUGUGAAAUCUCCGGGCUUAACUCGGAACGGUCAGAUGAUACUGCUUUGCUAGAGUGCGGAAGGGGCAAUCGGAAUUCUCGGUGUAGCGGUGAAAUGCGUAGAUAUCGAGAGGAACACCAGAGGUGAAGGCGGGUUGCUGGGCCGACACUGACGCUGAGGCGCGAAAGCCAGGGGAGCAAACGGG
rnacentral:rRNA from 1 species